AAUUAAUUGCCCAUGUAAUCAAUAUAUACAAUUAAUAAUCAACAUCAAUGAACAAAUCAGGAUACACACGCAUGUCCAGAACAAAUCAAGUCUAUUAGAUUCAAUAAAAUACAUCACAAUUGUCCAAACAGAAUCCUUUCGCCUAAAUUAGUCUCCUCGAGAGACUACGCUCCCUUCCCGACUCUCCCACCAUCCAUCUCUUUAAAACCAAUCCUAUCAGCAAUAGGAUCUAAGAGCCAAAAGAAGUCAUCUAUCAGACAAGUCUCUUUCCAGUAUCUUCUCUUGCUUCAUCCUUUUUACCCCUUUUACAUCCCCCUC
rnacentral:lncRNA from 1 species